rnacentral:rRNA from 1 species
AUUGAACGCUGGCGGCAGGCCUAACACAUGCAAGUCGAACGAGCGGCGGACGGGUGAGUAAUGUCUGGGAAACUGCCUGAUGGAGGGGGAUAACUCCUGGAAACGGUAGCUAAUACCGCAUACCAUCGGAUGUGCCCAGAUGGGAUUAGCUAGUAGUUGGGGUAAUGGCUCACCUAGGCGACGAUCCCUAGCUGGUCUGAGAGGAUGACCAGCCACACUGGACCUGAGAAACGGUACAGACUCCUACGGGAGGCAGCAGUGGGGAAUAUUGCACAAUGGGCGCAAGCCUGAUGCAGCCAUGCCGCGUGUAUGAAGAAGGCCUUCGGGUUGUAAAGGACUUUCAGCGAGGAGGCGUUACCCGCAGAAGAAGCACCGGCUAACUCCGUGCCAGCAGCCGCGGUAAUAC